CUUGCAGCCAUAUCACAUUUAAACACCAAUUCUCAUGCAAUCACUAAAGUUAAGCAAUGUUGAGUCUGGUCAGUACUUAAAUGGGUGACCACUUGGAAAUACCAGGUGUUGUAG